GAAUCAAUUUGUUGGUCGUGCCUCGGUACGUACUGGUAUUAUUGGUUUCUACCUUCUGAAGAACCUUGAUGUCAUUAAUUUGGCGUCUUGGGGAAUCAGGACUGCUACUUUGAAAAAAUUAGAGUGUUUAAAGCAGGCUCACGCUUGAAUACAUUAGCAUGGAAUAAUGAAAUAGGACGGCAUGAUUCUAUUUUGUUGGUUUCUAGGAUUGACGUA
rnacentral:misc_RNA from 1 species